ensembl:lincRNA
ACAGGAAACGCAAAGCCAACGACCUGCUCCUUCCUCCCGGCAUCACCCAAACACAUUCAGAGGACGCAGCGAGUGCACUCCAUGUAUGGGAAGAGAGCAGACUGAGACGGAAGAGCGGGCCAGUGUCACUGCAGACUGACAGGCUGGUCCCUGGAGGUGUCGCCAAGGGUUCAGAAACCAGAGGCUUGGUCUGGGCUUACAUCUCCCCACUUCUCGGGCCACAGGUGACCAAACCGUGA